rnacentral:misc_RNA from 1 species
GUGAAUCAUCGAAUCUUUGAACGCACAUUGCGCCCCUUGGUAUUCCAUGGGGCAUGCCUGUUCGAGCGUCAUUUGUACCUUCAAGCUCUGCUUGGUGUUGGGUGUUUUGUCUCGCCUCCGCGUGUAGACUCGCCUUAAAACAAUUGGCAGCCGGCGUAUUGAUUUCGGAGCGCAGUACAUCUCGCGCUUUGCACUCAUAACGACGACGUCCAAAAGUACAUUUUUACACUCUUGACCUCGGAUCAGGUAGGGAUACCCGCUGAACUUAAGCAUAUCAAUAAGCGGAGGA